AGUGAGUAUAGAGGUGCAAAUCUCAAGAGUAAGCUUCAUAAAGCGGAUGAUCGCUGAUGAUUGUAGCUGAAAGGGGAAUUUGCCGAAGUGGAUAAAAGUUCAUCAUUUUAUUCACUGGUGCUGUUAUUGAAUAAAUACAGUACUGUCAUAUAGUACAAAGUUGCUAUAUGGAGGGCUAUCUCACGC
rnacentral:ncRNA from 2 species